GACGAACGCUGGCGGCGUGCUUAACACAUGCAAGUCGAGCGGUAAGGCCCUUUCGGGGGUACACGAGCGGCGAACGGGUGAGUAACACGUGGGUGACCUGCCCUCAGCUCUGGGAUAAGCCUGGGAAACCGGGUCUAAUACUGGAUAUGACUCCAUGACGCAUGUUGUGGGGUGGAAAGCCUUGUGCGGCUGAGGAUGGGCCCGCGGCCUAUCAGCUUGUUGGUGGGGUGANGGCCUACCAAGGCGACGACGGGUAGCCGGCCUGAGAGGGCGACCGGCCACACCGGGACUGAGACACGGCCCAGACUCCUACGGGAGGCAGCAGUGGGGAAUCUUGCGCAAUGGGCGAAAGCCUGACGCAGCGACGCCGCGUGAGGGAUGACGGCCUGG
rnacentral:rRNA from 1 species